rnacentral:rRNA from 1 species
UACGUAGGGUGCAAGCGUUUAAUCGGAAUUACUGGGCGUAAAGCGUGCGCAGGCGGUUAUGUAAGACAGUUGUGAAAUCCCCGGGCUCAACCUGGGAACUGCAUCUGUGACUGCAUAGCUAGAGUACGGUAGAGGGGGAUGGAAUUCCGCGUGUAGCAGUGAAAUGCGUAGAUAUCGAGAGGAACACCUGCGGCGAAGGCGAGUCUCUAGACGAUUCCUGACGCUGAGGCACGAAAGUCGGUAGGGAGCAAACAGG